AAUGAACGUUGGCGGCGUGGAUUAGGCAUGCAAGUCGUGCGGUAAGGCCCCUUCGGGGGUACACGAGCGGCGAAAGGGAGAGUAACGUGUGGACUACCUACCCUCGGGUCCGGGAUAGCCGCGGGAAACUGCGGGUAAUACCGGAUAACAUCUCAGGAUCAAAGGUGUGAUUCCGCCUGAGGACGGGUCCGCAUCCUAUUAGCUUGUUGGUGAGGUAACGGCUCACCAAGGCUUCGAUGGGUACCGGGUGUGAGAGCAUGACCCGGCUCACUGGGACUGAGACACUGCCCAGACACCUACGGGAGGCAG
rnacentral:rRNA from 1 species